GAUGAACGCUGGCGGCGUGCCUAAUACAUGCAAGUCGAGCGAACGGACGAGAAGCUUGCUUUUCUGAUGUUAGCGGCGGACGGGUGAGUAACACGUGGAUAACCUACCCAUAAGACUGGGAUAACUUCGGGAAACCGGAGCUAAUACCGGAUAAUAUUUUGAACCGCAUGGUUCAAAAGUGAAAGACGGUCUUGCUGUCACUUAUAGAUGGAUCCGCGCUGCAUUAGCUAGUUGGUAAGGUAACGGCUUACCAAGGCAACGAUGCAUAGCCGACCUGAGAGGGUGAUCGGCCACACUGGAACUGAGACACGGUCCAGACUCCUACGGGAGGCAGCAGUAGGGAAUCUUCCGCAAUGGGCGAAAGCCUGACGGAGCAGCGCCGCGUGAGUGGUGAAGGUCUUCGGAUCGUAAAACUCUGUUAUUAGGGAAGAACAUAUGUGUAAGUAACUGUGCACAUCUUGACGGUACCUAAUCAGAAAGCCACGGCUAACUACGUG
rnacentral:rRNA from 1 species